rnacentral:antisense_RNA from 1 species
AGAAGAAAAAUGAGGAGAAUGCUGUCUCAUGGAAGACAAGCUAGCAAAGCUUGGAGAAGCCUGAACAAGCUGGUCACCCUCACUGGCAGAGACUUUCAUUUCCGUGGAAGGGAAACUGAUGACCUGAGACCAUUGGAAGAACUAGAUGGAUGAAGCAGUUCUAAGGACUGCAAAGCUGUGCAGUGGGAACCAACUCCCAACUGCAGUUAUCAUUCGCCUUUAAAGUCUCUGUGUCAAGACACACAGAAAGUGUCUACACCAAAUGGACAGACGUUCCAGGGGGGUUUCCUUCCCAACUGGUUAUUAAGAAAUCCAUCCUCUUCACAUCAGUGGGACUUCAUUCUACUCAAAUUCCAUCAUUCCCAAUAGCUCCAACACGUGGACAAACCCUGGGAGAUGAGGGUGCCAUCUCAAGCCUCUUAUUUUGGUUAUUUAACUGAAUAAGAAAAUGUGUAUAACUGCAGCAAA